GGUUUUCCUGUGAACACGGUCCACAUCUACUUCUCUAUUCAAACAAUCCUCUCUGACGCAGUCACCAUCUUCUGUGAAGUCACACUAACAGUCUGUAGAUGUGUGAUAAAUGGCGUUGUUCAUCCCUGAUAUGGCUGGUCAUCUGUUUCGGGUCAUCCUCCUUUUCGACACCUUCCAAUAUAUCGAAGCCCAAGGUCAUUACCUUCCUCCUCCCAGUCUGACAGUGAGGCCUGCAGUCAUCAAAGAGAGAGACUCAGUUCAGCUGAGUUGUGAGACUCCUCCAUCUUUCCGUGUGUCUCACUGUUACUUCUACAUAAAAGGGACGAAGAAUCUUCCAGACUCAUCCUGUAUUCAGACAAUAACAGGAACAGAGCUGCUCAAGAGGGCAGAUCAAACGUUUCCAGAUGUGGUCAAAGUGACGUGUUACUAUGCUGUAGUGAGUUCUCCCACAUCUCCUUUAAGUGACCCUGUCUCAGUCACUGUUCAGGAAACCGAAACAGCUGUGCAAUUUUGGCAGGGAGCAGUGGGUGUGGCUUCUGGAGUGGCCGUGUUCCUGAUGGGAUUGACAGCUGUCUAUCUCUGCAGAAGGACCAACCUACAGCAAGACAGGAUGAUCACAGACAAUGUGAUUUGGUGAUGGGAGCAGUGAGCAGUGCAGGCAUGUUGGAUUCAAGGGAUGCUGGGAUCUAUUCUCCCAUCACCACUGUACCGUCCACGUUCUUGCCCUCAGGCCCUGUUGAAGAAAAUGGAAUGUCACCUGAAAACGACAAUUCUGAUACGUACCACAUAUACAGCUCAAUCCCUGACAGACCAGCAACCUCAGCCCAGCCGGAUGGGUUGUACAGUCUGCAGACACACUGACACUACACCACUGGCUUUGUGUAGCUAUGUCUCAAACAUCUCACACAAAUACCCUCUUUCUCACAUGAUGUCCUUUAUUAUCACUCAUCAAGUUACUGUAAAUAAGUCUCUUAGCAGGUAAUAUAUAUUUUACAUAUGGACACCUGGCUUAUGUUACAUGCCUGUCCAUAAUAUCUGUUACUGUGUUAGCAUUUUUAUUUUGGAGUAUUGGAGGAGUUUGGAGCAUAAUUUUAUAUUUUCCUCCUAGUAAAUGCCAUAUUUAUGUAUAUUCUGUGUGAUUCCUCCUUCUAAUAUUUCUUAAAUAAAAUGUUUUCGGAGUCAAAAUCGAUAAAUACAGACCAUUUAAAAUCACAAUAUCAUCAGUUAAUCUAUUGCAUUAUGAGGCUAUAUAGUGUUUGUUUACAUUUAAUUUGUAAAUGUAAAACAAGCUGAUAUUUUGGGGGUUUUGAUUGGGAACGACACUUUAACUAAGCUGCUGAGGUCAUGAGGCAUUUCUAAGUUAUAUUCUUGAUGAAUCAAUGGGUAGAUAUAAUUCAUUUAUUGGCCCAAAAAUGGGCCAAGGUUUGCUAUGUCUGUCAGGAGGAGAUCUGUCUGGGAGGAGAUCCCUCAGGAGACCAUCAGCCACCUCAUCAGGAGCAUGCCCAGGCAUUGUAGGGAGGUCAUACAGGCACGUGGAGGCCACACACACUACUGAGCCUCAUUUUGACUUGUUUUAAGGACAUUACAUCAAAGUUGGAUCAGCCUGUAGUGUGGUUUUCUACUUUAAUUUUGAGUGUGACUCCAAAUCCAGACCUCCAUGGGUUGAUACAUUUGAUUUCCAUUGAUCAUUUUUGUGUGAUUUUGUUGUCAGCACAUUCAACUAUGUAAAAAAAAGUAUUUAAUAAGAACAUUUCAUUCAUUCAGAUCUAGGAUGUGUCAUUUUAGUGUUCCCUUUAUUUUGUUGAGCAGUGUAUAAAAUAAUUUCACCUGAUUGAGCUAAUCAUGUAAAUGUAAUUAAACUAGAGAUUCGUGUACCACAAAAUAAUAUUUAUAGAGC
ensembl:lncRNA